rnacentral:rRNA from 1 species
UACGUAGGGCGCAAGCGUUAUCCGGAAUUAUUGGGCGUAAAGAGCUCGUAGGCGGUUUGUCGCGUCUGCCGUGAAAGUCCGGGGCUCAACUCCGGAUCUGCGGUGGGUACGGGCAGACUAGAGUGAUGUAGGGGAGACUGGAAUUCCUGGUGUAGCGGUGAAAUGACGCAGAUAUCAGGAGGAACACCGAUGGCGAAGGCAGGUCUCUGGGCAUUAACUGACGCUGAGGAGCGAAAGCAUGGGGAGCGAACAGG